rnacentral:rRNA from 1 species
CUGGCGGCGUGCUUAACACAUGCAAGUCGAACGGAGAUAAGAGAAAGCUUGCUUUUCUUAUCUUAGUGGCGGACGGGUGAGUAACGCGUGGGCAACCUACCCUGUACAGGGGGAUAGCAGUUGGAAACGACUGAUAAAACCGCAUAAAACGGCAGUACCGCAUGGUACAACCGUCAAAUAUUCAUAGGUACAGGAUGGGCCCGCGUCUGAUUAGCUAGUUGGUGGGGCAACGGCCUACCAAGGCGACGAUCAGUAGCCGGCCUGAGAGGGUGAACGGCCACAUUGGGACUGAGACACGGCCCAAACUCCUACGGGAGGCAGCAGUGGGGAAUAUUGGACAAUGGGGGAAACCCUGAUCCAGCGAACCGCCGCGUGAGUGAAGAAGUAUUUCGGUAUGUAAAGCUCUAUCAGCAGGGAAGAUGAUGACGGUACCUGACUAAGAAGCACCGGCUAAAUACGUGCCAGCCGCUGC